rnacentral:rRNA from 1 species
CCUACGGGGCGCAGCAGUGAGGAAUAUUGGUCAAUGGGCGAGAGCCUGAACCAGCCAAGUCGCGUGAGGGAUGACGGCUCUAUGAGUUGUAAACUGCUUUUGUACGAGGGUAAACCCCGAUACGUGUAUCGGGUUGAAAGUAUCGUACGAAUAAGGAUCGGCUAACUCCGUGCCAGCAGCCGCGGUAAUACGGAGGAUCCGAGCGUUAUCCGGAUUUAUUGGGUUUAAAGGGUGCGUAGGCGGUUUGAUAAGUUAGAGGUGAAAUGUCGGGGCUCAACCCCGAAACUGCCUCUAAUACUGUUGGG